rnacentral:piRNA from 1 species
AAUAGUGUAGGACAAAGAGCCUAGGG